rnacentral:rRNA from 1 species
GUGAAAUUGUUGAAAGGGAAACGAUUGAAGUCAGUCAUGCCGGUGAGAAUCAACUUAGGGGAAACUCUGAGUGCACUUCUUCGCUUGGCAAAUCAAGUUGAUUUUGGAUGUCAUAAAAUGGUUGAGGGAAGGUAGCUCUUUCGAGAGUGUUAUAGCUCUUGGUAGAUGUGAUGUCUGGGAUUGAGGAUUGCAAUGGAUACCCUUUGGGGCUAGCCGUCUAAUAUCUAAUUGGUAUUGGGUUACAGAUAGCAUGCUGACCAUGAUCCAAUUAUUGGUUAAAAGGUUAGAGCGUGCAUAAAUUGAUUAAGAACAUUGACGUAAUGGCUUUAAACGAC